GAAAGUGUAGUUGAAAUAACAACAUUAACCUGCAAAAUUAAAAGUAUACCUAUAUAAUCGCUUUCU
rnacentral:tRNA from 1 species